rnacentral:sRNA from 1 species
UAAGCCGUUAAUCGGUAGUACGCCCGUUACAUUACGAAUUGAUUCAUUGCGUUUAAGGCCCGAGUGCCCCAUCAUUUAGUUAAACAGGUAGUUACACCUGAGCGUCCGCAGCACAGCGAAGUGCUCGCGAAGAGGUCCGAGUGCCUACAAGCCGUAACACUGUGAAUAGCGUUCACGAAGAAGCUUAUGAGCUUAGAGCCACAGCGCUGCGAAUAGCAUUCGUGAAGAGGCCAGUGUGCCUAUGUCAGAACUAAUGUCUCAUAUCAAGGAUCUUGUAACAUCUCGCUAUUUGACAUUUGCAACGUCUCACUAUGUGAAACGUUGCAAUGCCCUGCUAAAUCUCAGCACUGCCUCGCUCAUAUGAUCGAGCAUAUCCUUUCUUAUAAAUACUGCCUGAUUAUCAUGUAAUUAUCGGAG